rnacentral:lncRNA from 1 species
GGGUACCCGAAUUGGAACCUUGCCGCUGCCACAACUGCAUUUUCUGCCAAUUGAUGUUCCUGCCGCUGUUGUUGUUGGAGAUGAUAGUAGGGUACCUACAUUGGGUACCCACCUUCUGCUGCUGCGUUCUCCGUUGAUUGUUGCGAUUUAUUCUCCAUUAUUCUUUAGAUGAAUGACCAUAAUUUUUAUGUUAUAAUCGAAUAGACAGUAAAAACCAAAUAACAACUAAUAAAUAAAAUGUUGAACCGAAAGAAAUUAGGCUAACAUUCUUGUUUUUGUUAGCAUUUCAAUAAAAAAAAUAAUGAAUCAGACAAGAAUAUAGGUUUAAUUCAACUGUAAUCGACAAAUAAAAGUAACUAACCAGUCUCUAUAGACUAUAACAAAGUUAAAAAAAGUUAAACCUUAAAUUAUAAUGCGUUAGUAUUCAGAAAGUCUGAACGCAAGAUGUUCUGUAAAAACCUUUGAAAAAAAAAUGAUUGUGAAAGUGAAAUCUGGUUAUAGUAAAAAUGAGUGAGUUGAGUUAGAUAUGUGUGUGUGUUGGGUUGUGUAGAAUUAUAUUGAAGAAAAUUUUAAUUAGAAAAAAUAUAUUCAUGUAUAUGUUAUUUAAAAUUAGUUUUUUGACACUUGCUUUGCACGUAUAUGGCAAAUCAUGUAAUAUAGAAUUUUAUAAAUAAUUAUAGUUCAUUUGUUGUUGCAGCUGAAGGAGAUGGUAAUAGGGUACCCACAUUGUUACCCUAUAGCUGCCGCAGCUGUAUUCCUCGCCAAUUGAUGUUUCUGUUGCUGCUGCUGUUGGAGAUGAUAGUAGGGUACCUUCAUUGGGUAUCCGCGUCCUAUUGUUGCAUUCUCCGCUGAUUGUUGCGAUUUAUUCUCCAUUAUGUUUUUAAAUGAAGGGCAAUAAUUUCUAUGCUAACAAAUAAACACGGAGAGACAAAUGAAAGAAGAGUAAUUUACUUGUGUUGUGCGAGUAAUUUACUUGUGUUGUGCUCUCUUACUUGUGUGCACCCACUAUUUUUACCAAUUAAAGAUGUACUUUAACCAGAUAAACAAGGGGAGUGAGGACCACCACAUUAGUAACAAACGAAACCUUAUUUGUUUGAUCGAGUUGAUAGCUGGUGGAAUCAUCUGAGGAAAAAAAGCCUCACCGUCAUCCAAUUUUUUGUGUUGCUCGAAAAGAACAACAUCUCACAACCAAAAAAAAUUAUGAUUUAAACUCGAAAGAGGUUCAAUUAAACUGUGAUAAAGAGACAAUUCAAAUUCUAUAAAGUUAAAAUACAAAUAAUUGAAUAGGUUGUAAAGAAAACAUAACAACUAUUAAACAAAGCGUUGAACCGAAGGAAAUUAGCACAACAAUCAUGUUUCUAUUAGCAUUUCAAUAAAAAUUUAAUGAAUCAGACAUGAAUAUGGAUUCAAUUCAACUGUAAUCAACACAUACAAGUAACCAAACAAUCUCCAAAGACUAAUACAUAGCUUACAAAGUUAAACUUUGAAUUAUAACGCAUUAGCAUUUAGAAAGUUUGAAAGCAAGAGGUUUUAAUAAAACCUUCGAAAAAAAAUGAUUGUCAAAGUGAAAUCGAAUCAAAGUAAAAAUGAGUGAGUUGGGUUGAAUAUAUGUGUGUGUGUUGGGUUGUGUAGAAUUAUAUUGGAGAAAUAAUUAAUUUUAAUAAGAUAAAAAUAUUCAGUAACAGACGAGACUUCAUUUCUGUGAUCGAGGUGGUAGCUGGUGGAAUUAUCUGAGGAAAAAAUGCCUCACCCUCAUUCAAUUUUUUGUGUUGCUCGAAAAGAACAACUUGUCAACAACCAAAAAUAUUAUGAAUUGAACUCAUAAAGAAGUUCACGUAUAUGUUAUUUAAGACCAGUUUUUUGACGCGUGCUUUACACGUGCAUGUCACAUCAUGUAAUAUAUACUUUUAUAAAUAAUUUUACCUCAUUUGUUUUAACUGCUGAAGGAGAUGGUAAUAGGGUACCCACAUUGGUACACUCGCCGCUGCAGCCGUUGUAUUCUCUAUCAAUUGAUAUUCUCUUAUUUGCUACUGUUGGAAAUGGUAGUACAGUACCUGCAUUGGGUAUCUCGCCGCCACCGUCUUUGCUGCAUUCAAAACAUUCUCUACCGAUCAUUUCGAUUUAUUAUCCAUUGUACUUGGGGGAUAAUUUCUAUGUUUGCAACUACAGAGUGAGAAAAUGGAAGAAGAGUAGCCUAGUUGUGUUGUACGCUCUUACUAUUUGUACAAACUAAAUUUGUACUUAUUAUCAUAUAAACAGAGGGAGUAAGGCCACCACAUCAGUAACGGACGAAACCUCAUUUCUAGUCCGUAACCUCAUUUCUCUAUAAGUGGUAGCCGGUGAUUAACUCUUUUUUUGUUGAUAAAUUACUUUUUUUCUUUU